rnacentral:rRNA from 1 species
AGACCACCAGCUAAGGUCCCAAAAUAUAUGUUAAGUGGAAAAGGAUGUGGCGUUGCCCAGACAACUAGGAUGUUGGCUUAGAAGCAGCCAUCAUUUAAAGAGUGCGUAAUAGCUCACUAGUCGAGUGACACUGCGCCGAAAAUGUACCGGGGCUAAACAUAUUACCGAAGCUGUGGAUUGUCCUUUGGACAAUGGUAGGAGAGCGUUCUAAGGGCGUUGAAGCAUGAUCGUAAGGACAUGUGGAGCGCUUAGAAGUGAGAAUGCCGGUGUGAGUAGCGAAAGACGGGUGAGAAUCCCGUCCACCGAUUGACUAAGGUUUCCAGAGGAAGGCUCGUCCGCUCUGGGUUAGUCGGGUCCUAAGCUGAGGCCGACAGGCGUAGGCGAUGGAUAACAGGUUGAUAUUCCUGUACCACCUAUAAUCGUUUUAAUCGAUGGGGGGACGCAGUAGGAUAGGCGAAGCGUGCGAUUGGAUUGCACGUCUAAGCAGUAAGGCUGAGUAUUAGGCAAAUCCGGUACUCGUUAAGGCUGAGCUGUGAUGGGGAGAAGACAUUGUGUCUUCGAGUCGUUGAUUUCACACUGCCGAGAAAAGCCUCUAGAUAGAAAAUAGGUGCCCGUACCGCAAACCGACACAGGUAGUCAAGAUGAGAAUUCUAAGGUGAGCGAGCGAACUCUCGUUAAGGAACUCGGCAAAAUGACCCCGUAACUUCGGGAGAAGGGGUGCUCUUUAGGGUUAACGCCCAGAAGAGCCGCAGUGAA